GAAUGCUGACAUAAGUAACGAUAAAGCGGGUGAAAAGCCCGCUCGCCGGAAGACCAAGGGUUCCUGUCCAACGUUAAUCGGGGCAGGGUGAGUCGACCCCUAAGGCGAGGCCGAAAGGCGUAGUCGAUGGGAAACAGGUUAAUAUUCCUGUACUUGGUGUUACUGCGAAGGGGGGACGGAGAAGGCUAUGUUGGCCGGGCGACGGUUGUCCCGGUUUAAGCGUGUAGGCUGGUUUUCCAGGCAAAUCCGGAAAAUCAAGGCUGAGGCGUGAUGACGAGGCACUACGGUGCUGAAGCGACAAAUGCCCUGCUUCCAGGAAAAGCCUCUAAGCAUCAGGUAACAUCAAAUCGUACCCCAAACCGACACAGGUGGUCAGGUAGAGAAUACCAAGGCGCUUGAGAGAACUCGGGUGAAGGAACUAGGCAAAAUGGUG
rnacentral:rRNA from 1 species